rnacentral:rRNA from 1 species
GACGAACGCUGGCGGCGUGCCUAAUACAUGCAAGUUGAGCGCUGAAGGUUGGUACUUGUACCGACUGGAUGAGCAGCGAACGGGUGAGUAACGCGUGGGGAAUCUGCCUUUGAGCGGGGGGCAACAUUUGGAAACGAAUGCUAAUACCGCAUAAAAACUUUAAACACAAGUUUUAAGUUUGAAAGAUGCAAUUGCAUCACUCAAAGAUGAUCCCGCGUUGUAUUAGCUAGUUGGUGAGGUAAAGGCUCACCAAGGCGAUGAUACAUAGCCGACCUGAGAGGGUGAUAGGCCACAGUGGGACUGAGACACGGCCCAAACUCCUACGGGAGGCAGCAGUAGGGAAUCUUCGGCAAUGGACGAAAGUCUGACCGAGCAACGCCGCGUGAGUGAAGAAGGUUGUCGGAUCGUAAAACUCUGUUGGUAGAGAAGAACGUUGGUGAGAGUGGAAAGCUCAUCAAGUGACGGGAACUACCCAGAAAGGGACGGCUAACUACGUG